rnacentral:tRNA from 1 species
GCCGGUCUGGCGGAGAAGCUUACGCGACAGCCUGCAGAGCUGUUUUACUUGGGUGCAAAUCCCAAGGCCGGCU